CUCUUGUUGCCUCGGCGCAAGCGACCCGGGCCCAGCCCGGGGCGCCCGCCGGCGGACACACCAAACUCUGUUAUCUUCGUUGAUUAUCUGAGUGUCUUAUUUAAUAAGUCAAAACUUUCAACAACGGAUCUCUUGGUUCUGGCAUCGAUGAAGAACGCAGCGAAAUGCGAUAAGUAAUGUGAAUUGCAGAAUUCAGUGAAUCAUCGAAUCUUUGAACGCACAUUGCGCCCAUUAGUAUUCUAGUGGGCAUGCCUGUUCGAGCGUCAUUUCAACCUCUAAGCACAGCUUACUGUUGGGAAUCUACGUCUGUAGUUCCUCAAAGACAUUGGCGGAGCGGCAGUAGUCCUCUGAGCGUAGUAAUUUUUUAUCUCGCUUCUGUUAGGCGCUGUCGUCCCGGCCGUUAAACCCCCAAUUUUUUCUGGUUGACCUCGGAUCAGGUAGGAAUACCCGC
rnacentral:rRNA from 1 species